UACGGAGGGGGCUAGCGUUGUUCGGAAUUACUGGGCGUAAAGCGCACGUAGGCGGCUUUGUAAGUUAGAGGUGAAAGCCUGGUGCUCAACACCAGAAUUGCCUUUAAGACUGCAUCGCUUGAACGUCGGAGAGGUGAGUGGAAUUCCGAGUGUAGAGGUGAAAUUCGUAGAUAUUCGGAAGAACACCGAUGGCGAAGGCAGCUCACUGGGACGGUACUGACGCUGAGGCGCGAAAGCGUGGGGAGCAAACAGGG
rnacentral:rRNA from 1 species